AGAUGGUGGUGUCUUCCAAGACUGGAAGUUUCACUGCUACCUGGCUUGGAGGAUUUGAUACUAUUCCGGGACUGGUGGGAAAGGACAGGCUAUGGUUCUGGAGUGAUGGAGCUAACUUUGAUUACCAGAACUGGAAUCAAGGAGAGCCCAAUAACAAUGGUGGCAGAGAGCCAUGUAUUGUGAUGAACUUUGGAGGUGAACACGGCUGGAACGAUCUAGAAUGUGGAAAUGUAUUGCCCUAUGUGUGCUCCCGGAGAACUGUUUAUGAUUAAAUCAAAUACUUUGGAGAUUAUUUUGUUGGUCAUAAAUGUUGAGUAAUGAUUUUGUGGUUUGUCAAUAAAACUGGUGUAGAAGUUA